GACGAACGCUGGCGGCAGGCCUAACACAUGCAAGUCGAACGAACCCUUCGGGGUUAGUGGCGGACGGGUGAGUAACACGUGGGAACGUGCCUUUAGGUUCGGAAUAACUCAGGGAAACUUGUGCUAAUACCGAAUGUGCCCUUCGGGGGAAAGAUUUAUCGCCUUUAGAGCGGCCCGCGUCUGAUUAGCUAGUUGGUGAGGUAAUGGCUCACCAAGGCUACGAUCAGUAGCUGGUCUGAGAGGAUGACCAGCCACAUUGGGACUGAGACACGGCCCAAACUCCUACGGGAGGCAGCAGUGGGGAAUCUUGCGCAAUGGGCGAAAGCUUGACGCAGCCAUGCCGCGUGGAUGAUGAAGGUCUUAGGAUUGUAAAAUCCUUUCACCGGUGAAGAUAAUGACUGUAGCCGGAGAAGAAGCCCCGGCUAACUUCGUGCCAGCCGCCGCCGUAACAC
rnacentral:rRNA from 1 species